rnacentral:lncRNA from 1 species
AUGAAAGAAAUUGGUCUUUGCUCAGCUUCACAUUUCCGCUCCAUAUCACAUCCCUUCCACUUGGCCAAGUCAAAGGGAUCUUAUAAUCCUUUGGGGGACGAAUCAAACAAUACUCUUUAUCUCGUGAUAAUUCACAAUGACGAUCAAGGUCCUCCCCAUCUUUAAAACCAGCUAGCAGGUUAGCAGAUGAAUUGUAACAAGGAACAUAAUUCUCUCUUUCCUUCCCACAGAGAUCAAAAUCCUUCGAAGGAUUGGUUCCUAAUUUUCGCAACUCCAAGUAAUCAUUAACAGCUUGCUCUUUCAAUCUUCUAUAGCUCGAAUAAAUGUCAGGUCUUGUAGGAUCAGUCGCAGAAUCAAGUUGAUUAGAAGAAGAAGAUCCCAGUAAUGCAAUCAAAACUAAGACACUAACUAGAAACAAAAGCAACCAGUUGAGUGGCGGUCUAGGGCCGAAGGACAGUAAUAGUUUAUUGUACCAAGAGCUUCUCAUGUCCAACUCUUGUGAUCCUCUUCAAAAUGAAUGCAGAAAUUUUCCAACUGGAGUUUAGUUAUAUCUCCAACUUCAAUCUCCAACAACUUUGUAGACCACAACCAAUCAUCAGGUAUAUUUUAUCGCGAAUAAUAUGAUCAAAACUCCAAACUAUCUCAGCUAGCAUCGGCGCAAACCAAUAAUUAAGCAUCAGCCAAACUACAAAACCAGCUGUAAUUUCACAUAAUUCAGCUAUCAAAUAUCAAAAUAUCCCUACAAACUGGUCCGAUCCUAAGUUAUGACGUAUGUAUUCAGAUCGCGCGAACUUUCCCUUUUAGGCCUGCAAACAUUCCAUUCACCAACUGCCACACUAAAAGCCAAAUUAACCGUCACAAUUGCCCAAAAACACCAAUGCCGAACUCAACGAAAACAAAACAAAUUCAGUUCUCAAUCAAUCACCACGCGAAUUAAACAACAAAAGCCUCCAGAUCAAACAAAACCUGCAUUACGCCAUUACAACAAAAAAACACAAAUCACUCAUAACAUUCAUUCCAAAAAUCCACCUAGAUCUCAAACUCAGAUCAGAUCCACAACGCAGUACAAACAAUGCAAUCAGCAUUACCGCGAAACCGACAGCAGCAGAAAUAACACUCGGAGAGAAAAACAAAAGGAAAUAAAAAGAUGUGUGAAAUUGAGCAUUUGCUCACCGGCAGUUCGAAGUGCGCAGAUACAGAACAAAAAAGUCAGGUGUCCACGGCGGUUAAGCAGCAGAGGUUGGAUUCGCCAUUGACAUCUAGAGAGAGAAACUUCUGAGCAGCUUUUCGGAGCGUGGGUUCUCUAUAAUUGGGAAAAAACAAAUUAAUAAUAAUUUAAUGGCUGGGUUUAAUAUUAUUUGUUUAUUUAUAUAGUUGUUUAGUGUAACAGGAAUUCCAAAUGGUUUGUGAUUUUUAAGAUCCAAUCUGCCGAGGCUCGCAAAUUCAGGGAAAACAAAAUCGAGCUUCAAUUAUUCUCUGCCUACAUUUGUGUUCUACUCCACUCUUUUAUUCGUAUUUGCACUUUCACCCACAAACUCUCUUCUUCCUUCCCAUUUUUAUUUGGAGAUUGUUUUUUACCUUAUUAAAUAAAACGCCCACACUUCAAAUCUCUAUAAAACGAAAAACAAAAAAACUUCUAAGUUGACACAAUUAUUUAGAAUAUCAUAUUUUAAUAAUAAGGUCGAUAAUUAAAGUACUGGUAUAUUAAUUAAUCUAACAAACAGCUUUUAUAAAUGAUGGGACCCUAGGAUCUUCUACCCACUCCAUUUAAUGAGAAAAUUAGUAAUUACUGGUAUUCCUUAAUUAGGAGUCUAAAGGGGGACGAGUCUAAAUUACUGAGCUAUUUUUACUAUUUAUUUUUAAUUUUAUGGAGUAAUAUUAUAUACCUACUAGUGAACAAGUAUGUUUGCUACUUCUCUCGUUAAUUAAUGAUAUCGUUUGCUAAUCUCACAUGAAUGUUAGAGAAGAUGUCGGAUUUGGCUUUAUUAGGGAUUUUGUUUUAGUUGGAUUUAUUAGGUUUUUAAUGCUUUCCGAUCCAUGCAACAAAUCUGGAUUUGAUCAGAUUUUGAUGACAUAAUACAGUUACGAUAUUUUGUGAACUAAUCCACUUUUUCAUGAAAUGAAUAAUCAAUUAAUCCAUCCAUUUCUUGAGUCUUAAUUCACAGUCAAAAAAGUGAUUUAUCUAAAGUGAAGUUUACAAUUCAAAUCUACGUACCCUACUAUGAAGAUUUGUGGGUUAGUAAAUUUUGAAACGAAAAUAUUCUAAAAAAAGCAACAUCUAUAUAAGAUUACCUACUCGUGCUACACUCAUUUAAUGCGAUAUCAACAUUUUUUUUUUUCGAAAGGAAUGCGAUAUCAACAUUAAAUACAUUUUUUCGACUUUCGCAUAUAAAAUAAAUAAAUAAAUACAUACGUGCGUGUAAAAAUUGUUAUUUCUAAUAUGUUACAAUUUCGUAUGUUUUUGCUAAUUAAACUUUUUUAAAUGUCUAUAAAUAUACUCCCGCCUUAAAGUUCCAUUUCCUUUUAGUUCACACUUGUUACUUUAAAAAGUAAAAUUAAAAAUAAUAAUUAAUAAAUUCAAUAAACCAAACAUUCAAAAAACUAAAAAAAAAGUAGUCCUUAACUAGUAGAUUAUAUUUUUAUAUAUAUUAUAAAUAUAAUUCGGUUUUUCGGUUUUGUUCGGUUUUAAAAAGAUCCGAACCGAACCGAACCGAAAACCGAAAUUUUAUGGAAAAAAAACGAACCGAACCGAAUAACCGAAAAAUCGAACCAUAUUUUAAAAUUUCGGUUUGGAUCGGUUCGGCUAUUCGGUUUCGGAUUUUUUGCUCACCCCUACNUCCGCUCCAUAUCACAUCCCUUCCACUUGGCCAAGUCAAAGGGAUCUUAUAAUCCUUUGGGGGACGAAUCAAACAAUACUCUUUAUCUCGUGAUAAUUCACAAUGACGAUCAAGGUCCUCCCCAUCUUUAAAACCAGCUAGCAGGUUAGCAGAUGAAUUGUAACAAGGACAUAAUUCUCUCUUUCCUUCCCACAGAGAUCAAAAAUCCUUCGAAGGAUUGGUUCCUAAUUUUCGCAACUCCAAGUAAUCAUUAACAGCUUGCUCUUUCAAUCUUCUAUAGCUCGAAUAAAUGUCAGGUCUUGUAGGAUCAGUCGCAGAAUCAAGUUGAUUAGAAGAAGAAGAUCCCAGUAAUGCAAUCAAAACUAAGACACUAACUAGAAACAAAAGCAACCAGUUGAGUGGCGGUCUAGGGCCGAAGGACAGUAAUAGUUUAUUGUACCAAGAGCUUCUCAUGUCCAACUCUUGUGAUCCUCUUCAAAAUGAAUGCAGAAAUUUUCCAACUGGAGUUUAGUUAUAUCUCCAACUUCAAUCUCCAACAACUUUGUAGACCACAACCAAUCAUCAGGUAUAUUUUAUCGCGAAUAAUAUGAUCAAAACUCCAAACUAUCUCAGCUAGCAUCGGCGCAAACCAUAAUUAAGCAUCAGCCAAACUACAAAACCAGCUGUAAUUUCACAUAAUUCAGCUAUCAAAUAUCAAAAUAUCCCUACAAACUGGUCCGAUCCUAAGUUAUGACGUAUGUAUUCAGAUCGCGCGAACUUUCCCUUUUAGGCCUGCAAACAUUCCAUUCACCAACUGCCACACUAAAAGCCAAAUUAACCGUCACAAUUGCCCAAAAACACCAAUAGCCGAACUCAACGAAAACAAAACAAAUUCAGUUCUCAAUCAAUCACCACGCGAAUUAAACAACAAAAGCCUCCAGAUCAAACAAAACC